UGAACGCAGCGACAGGCCUAACACAUGCAAGGUCGAGGGGCGAGCGACAAGGAGCAAUCUGAGGUGGCGACCGGCGGCACGGGUGAGUAACACGUAUGCAACCUGCCUGUAAGCGGGGAAUAACCCGUUGAAAGACGGACUAAUACCGCAUAAUACUAAAUUACUGCAUGGUAAUUUAUUUAAACAUUUAUGGCUUACAGAUGGGCAUGCGCAUGAUUAGCUAGUUGGAGAGGUAACGGCUCCCCAAGGCAACGAUCAUUAGGGGUUCUGAGAGGAAGGUCCCCCACACUGGUACUGAGACACGGACCAGACUCCUACGGGAGGCAGCAGUGAGGAAUAUUGGUCAAUGGACGAGAGUCUGAACCAGCCAAGUCGCGUGCAGGAAGAAUGUUCCCUAUGGAUUGUAAACUGCUUUUGCAGGGGGAUAAAGUGCAUCACGUGUGAUGUUUUGUAUGUACUCUGCGAAUAAGGAUCGGCUAACUCCGUGCCAGCCGCCGC
rnacentral:rRNA from 1 species